rnacentral:lncRNA from 1 species
GCCGUCACAUCAGUAAAACCACCACUACAACUAUCCAAAGUGCGAAACAAACUUUUUAAAGUUAAUUGAACACUGUAAAAAAAAGUUUUAUAGUUUAGGAAGAAAAUUUAAACGACCGUUAUAGUUGAGAGAAAUGAAUUAGACUUUGCUCAAUCUCACAUCCCUAACCAAUUAUGGCCCGCAUAACAACCAGACCAAAAUGAGGUGGGCCAUGCAUUUCUCUUCUUGCCACCCAAGCGGCUAGCUACCCGUAACAUUAUAUAAAAUAAAAUAAAAGUUGGAUGAAACAUAGUCAUUUCAUUGUAUGAUUUAUAUAGAGUUAGCAAUCGUGUUAAGAGAUGAAACUUAUUUUUCUUAUAUGACAGCUUAUUAAAUGCAAACAAAACUCAUACUGAAACUGACCUUGGUCCUCUAGUCCUCGCUAAGACCACGGGAA